UAUGAAGCGUUGAAGAGGAACAGUACUUGCGUAGCGGGGCCUAGAGAGCCGGCGGUUGGUGGAAGCCGGACCCAUGCGCGCGGGGAAGCUCGCCUUGGAGCUGCGGGAUCGUUAAUCGCGAAGUCCGCCGUAAUGUCCGCGUUAAGGACAUCAAGUGAGCGAACGGCAAAGUAUGCCUUCGCUAACUAGGGUGGUACCACGGGAGAAUGACCUCUCGUCCCUAGC
rnacentral:ncRNA from 1 species